UGGGGAAUUUUGGACAAUGGGCGCAAGCCUGAUCCAGCAAUGCCGCGUGCAGGAUGAAGGCCUUCGGGUUGUAAACUGCUUUUGUACGGAGCGAAAAGGUCUGCCCUAAUACGGUGGGCUCAUGACGGUACCGUAAGAACAAGCACCGGCUAACUACGUGCCAGCAGCCGCGGUAAUACGUAGGGUGCAAGCGUUAAUCGGAAUUACUGGGCGUAAAGCGUGCGCAGGCGGUUAUGCAAGACAGAGGUGAAAUCCCCGGGCUCAACCUGGGACCUGCAUUUGUGACUGUAUAGCUAGAGUACGGUAGAGGGGGACGGAAUUCCGCGUGUAGCAGUGAAAUGCGUAGAUAUGCGGAGGAACACCGAUGGCGAAGGCAAUCCCCUGGACCUGUACUGACGCCCAUGCACGAAAGCGUGGGGAGCAAACA
rnacentral:rRNA from 1 species